ACAAAAUCAUCCUGAAAAGUUCAAAUAUGCCAGGAAAAAAUACUGAAAUCACCACAAAAAGACACAAAAUCAUCCUGAAAAGUUCAAAUAUGCCAGGAAAAAAUACUGAAAUCACCACAAAAAGACACAAAAUCAUCCUGAAAGGUUCAAAUAUGCCAGGAAAAAAUACUGAAAUCACCACAAAAAGACACAAAAUCAUCCUGAAAGGUUCAAAUAUGCCAGGAAAAAAUACUGAAAUCACCACAAAAGACACAAAAUCAUCCUGAAAGGUUCAAAUAUGCCAGGAAAAAUACUAAAAUCACCACAAAAAGACACAAAAUCAUCCUGAAAGGUUCAAAUAUGCCAGGAAAAAAUACUGAAAUCACCACAAAAAGACACAAAAUCAUCCUGAAAGGUUCAAAUAUGCCAGGAAAAAAUACUGAAAUCACCACAAAAAGACACAAAAUCAUCCUGAAAGGUUCAAAUAUGCCAGGAAAAAUACUGAAAUCACCACAAAAAGACACAAAAUCAUCCUGAAAGGUUCAAAUAUGCCAGGAAAAAUACUGAAAUCACCACAAAAAGACACAAAAUCAUCCUGAAAGGUUCAAAUAUGCCAGGAAAAAUACUGAAAUCACCACAAAAAGACACAAAAUCAUCCUGAAAGGUUCAAAUAUGCCAGGAAAAAAUACUGAAAUCACCACAAAAAGACACAAAAUCAUCCUGAAAGGUUCAAAUAUGCCAGGAAAAAAUACUAAAAUCACCACAAAAAGACACAAAAUCAUCCUGAAAGGUUCAAAUAUGCCAGGAAAAAAUACUGAAAUCACCACAAAAAGACACAAAAUCAUCCUGAAAGGUUCAAAUAUGCCAGGAAAAAAUACUGAAAUCACCACAAAAAGACACAAAAUCAUCCUGAAAGGUUCAAAUAUGCCAGGAAAAAAUACUGAAAUCACCACAAAAAGACACAAAAUCAUCCUGAAAGGUUCAAAUAUGCCAGGAAAAAAUACUGAAAUCACCACAAAAAGACACAAAAUCAUCCUGAAAGGUUCAAAUAUGCCAGGAAAAAAUACUAAAAUCACCACAAAAAGACACAAAAUCAUCCUGAAAGGUUUAAAUAUGCCAGGAAAAAAUACUGAAAUCACCACAAAAAGACACAAAAUCAUCCUGAAAGGUUCAAAUAUGCCAGGAAAAAAUACUGAAAUCACCACAAAAAGACAAAAUCAUCCUGAAAGGUUCAAAUAUGCCAGGAAAAAAUACUGAAAUCACCACAAAAAGACACAAAAUCAUCCUGAAAGGUUCAAAUAUGCCAGGAAAAAUACUGAAAUCACCACAAAAAGACACAAAAUCAUCCUGAAAGGUUCAAAUAUGCCAGGAAAAAUACUGAAAUCACCACAAAAAGACACAAAAUCAUCCUGAAAGGUUCAAAUAUGCCAGGAAAAAAUACUGAAAUCACCACAAAAAGACACAAAAUCAUCCUGAAAGGUUUAAAUAUGCCAGGAAAAAAUACUGAAAUCACCACAAAAGACACAAAAUCAUCCUGAAAGGUUCAAAUAUGCCAGGAAAAAAUACUGAAAUCACCACAAAAAGACACAAAAUCAUCCUGAAAGGUUCAAAUAUGCCAGGAAAAAAUACUGAAAUCACC